rnacentral:rRNA from 1 species
UUGCACGCUGGCGGCCGGCCUCACCCAUGCAAGUCGCGCGGAUGAAGGGAGCUUGCUCCUGGAUUCAGCGGCGGACGGGUGAGUAAUGCCUAGGAAUCUGCCUGGUAGUGGGGGAUAACGUCCGGAAACGGGCGCUAAUACCGCAUACGUCCUGAGGGAGAAAGUGGGGGAUCUUCGGACCUCACGCUAUCAGAUGAGCCUAGGUCGGAUUAGCUAGUUGGUGGGGUAAAGGCCUACCAAGGCGACGAUCCGUAACUGGUCUGAGAGGAUGAUCAGUCACACUGGAACUGAGACACGGUCCAGACUCCUACGGGAGGCAGCAGUGGGGAAUAUUGGACAAUGGGCGAAAGCCUGAUCCAGCCAUGCCGCGUGUGUGAAGAAGGUCUUCGGAUUGUAAAGCACUUUAAGUUGGGAGGAAGGGCAGUAAGUUAAUACCUUGCUGUUUUGACGUUACCAACAGAAUAAGCACCGGCUAACUUCGUG